UUUUUUUCACUGUUCCAAACAAAAAGAGCAAACACAGUUUCGAGAUAUUUCGAUAUUUCCGAACAAACAAACUCGAAAGGGGAUUAUGGUCAAAGGAAUCGUAUAACUGACUAAAUCAAAAUCUUCAUUUGUCAAUUAACCGAUGCCAGAUUAUCAUUGUAAGAGUUCAAGAAGGAAUUGAGUACAUUUAACAAAAAAAGAGGAGAAAUAAUCGAAGGAAGUCAAGGAUUGAAGUACAAAGCAAUAAUGCAGUAUUGGCUAGAUAUGAAGUUUCUACAGAUAAUUCCACAAAAAUGUAUGAAGAGAGAGGAGUUAUUAUAAGUUGAUUAUGGUGGUCUGUGAGUCUGUGAGAUGAGAUCUCUGUAAUUCACGGUUGUAGAUCCCAACUGGCAGAAUCUGGUCACCAACCUCUUCAAGCACUUGUUUCAUAGAUGCUUGUUGUGGACAGACAAUGGCAAUGUGAGUAAGCGUUUUCAACAAAGAUGGGUCAGUGUGAAGCUGAAAGCCUGAUCCAGACCCAACAACAUAAUCCGUAAAGACGCAAGCCAACUUUAUUGUAACGAAAAAUUCUGAGACUUCUUUCAAUCUACUGAGACGUACUUG